GAACGAGAAAGCGGGGGCAACUCCGUGAGUAAAGUGGCGACCGGGUGAGUAACACGUGACUAACCUGCCCUUCAGUGGGGGAUAACCUCGGGAAACCGGGGCUAAUACCGCAUAACACCAUGAGGUGAAAUUCCUGGUGAUCAAAGGAGCAAUUCGCUGAAGGAGGGGGUCGCGGCUGAUUAGCUAGUUGGUGAGGUAACGGCCCACCAAGGCGAUGAUCAGUAGCCGGCCUGAGAGGGCGCACGGCCACACUGGAACUGAAACACGGUCCAGACUCCUACGGGAGGCAGCAGUGGGGAAUUUUGCGCAAUGGGGGAAACCCUGACGCAGCAACGCCGCGUGGAGGAUGAAGUCCCUUGGGAUGUAAACUCCUUUCGAUCGGGACGAUUAUGACGGUACCGGAAGAAGAAGCACCGGCUAACUCUGUGCCAGCAGCCGCGGUAAU
rnacentral:rRNA from 1 species